GAUGAACGCUGGCGGCGUGCCUAAUACAUGCAAGUCGAGCGAACGGACGAGAAGCUUGCUUCUCUGAUGUUAGCGGCGGACGGGUGAGUAACACGUGGAUAACCUACCUAUAAGACUGGGAUAACUUCGGGAAACCGGAGCUAAUACCGGAUAAUAUUUUGAACCGCAUGGUUCAAAAGUGAAAGACGGUCUUGCUGUCACUUAUAGAUGGAUCCGCGCUGCAUUAGCUAGUUGGUAAGGUAACGGCUUACCAAGGCAACGAUGCAUAGCCGACCUGAGAGGGUGAUCGGCCACACUGGAACUGAGACACGGUCCAGACUCCUACGGGAGGCAGCAGUAGGGAAUCUUCCGCAAUGGGCGAAAGCCUGACGGAGCAACGCCGCGUGAGUGAUGAAGGUCUUCGGAUCGUAAAACUCUGUUAUUAGGGAAGAACAUAUGUGUAAGUAACUGUGCACAUCUUGACGGUACCUAAUCAGAAAGCCACGGCUAACUACGUGCCAGCAGCCGCGGUAAUACGUAGGUGGCAAGCGUUAUCCGGAAUUAUUGGGCGUAAAGCGCGCGUAGGCGGUUUUUUAAGUCUGAUGUGAAAGCCCACGGCUCAACCGUGGAGGGUCAUUGGAAACUGGAAAACUUGAGUGCAGAAGAGGAAAGUGGAAUUCCAUGUGUAGCGGUGAAAUGCGCAGAGAUAUGGAGGAACACCAGUGGCGAAGGCGACUUUCUGGUCUGUAACUGACGCUGAUGUGCGAAAGCGUGGGGAUCAAACAGGAUUAGAUACCCUGGUAGUCCACGCCGUAAACGAUGAGUGCUAAGUGUUAGGGGGUUUCCGCCCCUUAGUGCUGCAGCUAACGCAUUAAGCACUCCGCCUGGGGAGUACGACCGCAAGGUUGAAACUCAAAGGAAUUGACGGGGACCCGCACAAGCGGUGGAGCGUGUGGUUUAAUUCGAAGCAACGCGAAGAACCUUACCAAAUCUUGACAUCCUUUGACAACUCUAGAGAUGGAGCCUUCCCCUUCGGGGGACAAAGUGACAGGUGGUGCAUGGUUGUCGUCAGCUCGUGUCGUGAGAUGUUGGGUUAAGUCCCGCAACGAGCGCAACCCUUAAGCUUAGUUGCCAUCAUUAAGUUGGGCACUCUAAGUUGACUGCCGGUGACAGACCGGAGGAAGGUGGGGAUGACGUCAAAUCAUCAUGCCCCUUAUGAUUUGGGCUACACACGUGCUACAAUGGACAAUACAAAGGGCAGCGAAACCGCGAGGUCAAGCAAAUCCCAUAAAGUUGUUCUCAGUUCGGAUUGUAGUCUGCAACUCGACUACAUGAAGCUGGAAUCGCUAGUAAUCGUAGAUCAGCAUGCUACGGUGAAUACGUUCCCGGGUCU
rnacentral:rRNA from 1 species